rnacentral:tRNA from 1 species
GGGAAGGUGGCUCAGUGAUAGAGUGCUUGCCUUGCAUGCAUGAGGCCCUUGGUUCGAUUCCUCAGGCCCA